AACGAACGCUGGCGGCAUGCCUAACACAUGCAAGUCGAGCGAGACCUUCGGGUCUAGUGGCGCACGGGUGCGCAACGCGUGGGAACCUGCCCUUAGGUUCGGAAUAACUCCCCGAAAGGGGUGCUAAUACCGGAUAAUGUCUUCGGACCAAAGAUUUAUCGCCUUUGGAUGGGCCCGCGUUGGAUUAGCUAGUUGGUAGGGUAAAAGCCUACCAAGGCGACGAUCCAUAGCUGGUCUGAGAGGAUGAUCAGCCACACUGGGACUGAGACACGGCCCAGACUCCUACGGGAGGCAGCAGUGGGGAAUAUUGGACAAUGGGCGAAAGCCUGAUCCAGCAAUGCCGCGUGAGUGAUGAAGGCCUUAGGGUUGUAAAGCUCUUUUACCCGGGAUGAUAAUGACAGUACCGGGAGAAUAAGCUCCGGCUAACUCCGUG
rnacentral:rRNA from 1 species